UGGAGAUGAAGAAUGAGAAAGAAAGAGAAAUUAUGUUGGAAUUACAUGAAAGUGAGUAGGAGUGUUAAGAAUGAAAUUCUGUUUUGUAAAUCUUUUUCACUUCCCUUCCAGUAACAAGUCACAACCACACCACCUGUCACCAAAUCAAAUCAACUCCAUUCAUGCACACAACUCAACACAACUCCUAUGUAAAAUUUCUUCACAUGCCAUCAUUGUCCUCUCUCCCUCCUCAUCUUCUCAUUCCCUCACCUCAUCCUCUUCUCUGCUCACCACUCACUCAACUAAAUUUAAUCCAACCCCACACUACUACUACUUCUCUUCAAACCACUUGAGUUACCAAACACUGAAUUCUCUUCAAAAUGGAUCUUGCUGACUCUGCAUCACUGGAACUUCAAGCUCCUUCUGCUGUAACGAAGAAAACUGCUGUUUUCAGAAGCUGGAUUCUGCUAAACCAUGACGGCGUAGCCACUCUUCUAGAUGUAGACAAGUAUGCUAUUAUGCGCCUGGUUGAAAUCCAUGCAAGAGACCUUCGAAUUCUCGACCCUCUUCUCUCAUAUCCUUCCACCAUUCUUGGCAGAGACAAAGUCAUUGUUCUCAAUUUAGAGCACAUAAAAGCUAUUAUCACUGCAGAAGAGGUGUUGCUUAGAGACCCUAUGGAUGAUGAUUUGAUGCCGGUUAUUGAAGAACUUCGGCGGCGGUUACCGAUAGCAACUGCUGCUGGCCAAGGCCAAGGAGAAGAAGACACGGUUGCUCAAGAUGGUGAAAGUGGAGAAGAAGAUGAGUUUCCAUUUGAGUUCCGGGCCUUAGAAGUUGUGUUGGAGGCAAUUUGCAGCUUCCUUGACGCAAGGACAAGAGAGUUAGAAUCUGCUGCUUAUCCAGCUUUGGAUGAACUCACCUCCAAGAUCAGCUGUCGUAAUUUGGAUAAAGUGCGAAAAUUGAAAGGUGCAAUGACAAGGUUAACAAAUCGAGUUCAAAAGAUAAGAGAUGAACUAGAAAACCUACUUGAUGACGAUGAUGACAUGGCUGAACUUUACUUAUCAAGAAAGUUUGCUGCUUCAUCCUCUCCCACAAGUAGCUCUUGUGAUCCCAAAUGGCUUCAUAGCUCCCCAAAUCCAGAUUCAGAGAUACAUAAUAUAUCAAAUAAAACAAGUACAACAACAGUUGAAGGAGAUAAUGAUGUUGAGGAGCUCGAAAUGUUACUUGAGGCCUAUUUCAUGCAAAUUGAUGGAACAUUAAACAAACUGAAAACACUGCGGGAGUAUAUUGAUGACACGGAAGAUUACAUCAACAUACAACUUGACAAUCACCGAAAUCAACUGAUUCAGCUAGAGCUCUUCCUCAGUUCUGGGACUGUUUCUCUGUCCAUAUGUUCAUUGGUGGCAGCAAUAUUUGGUAUGAACAUUCCAUAUACAUGGAGAGAAGGUCACGGAUAUAUAUUCAAAUGGGUGGUUAUCUUUGCUGGAAUGGUUUGUGCAUCCUUGUUUUUAUCCAUAGCAGCUUAUGCCAGACGCAAAGGCCUUGUUGGGUCUUGAAUGUAUAAAGAUGAAACAUCAGAUUGAUUGAGGGAAAAAGUGUACAAGAAGUGGACAAGUGAGAACUUGAAGUGCAUCAUCAACGACAUGUGGUCAUGGAGAACGCAUACCAUCGAAUGCAUUUGCGUGUGUCGCUGUGCAGGUUGAGGGGUCAGCACUGGAGGAGGAGCAACUGCCACCAUCGGCACCACCACAACAGGGAGAAGGGCACUCGAUGAGGAGAAGACCACGAAUGGAAUUCGCAAAGGAUUGUGGGCUACAAACUUAGGUUGGGGAGAAUAGAACCCUAGUUGGGAUGAUUUCAGAAAUUUAGGGUUAUAAAUUUAGUUUGGGGUUAAUUUGGCUGCUAAUUAAGUUAGUGAGUUGAGGUUAGUUUAGUGUUAAGUUCUUAACUUUAAGGUGGAAAUGAAAGAAAAAUGUAAAAUAAAAUUAACAUAAGCUUCGUUAAACAUGUAACUGUGCCACAUAUGACUGACAAUGACACUUGGAAAAUUUUUCACAACUCAACCUC